rnacentral:rRNA from 1 species
UACGGAGGGUGCAAGCGUUAAUCGGAAUUACUGGGCGUAAAGGGUGUGUAGGUGGUUAUGUAAGUUAUCUGUGAAAUCCCUGGGCUUAACCUGGGCAGGUCAGAUAAGACUGCGUGACUUGAGUGUGGGAGAGGGUAGUGGAAUUUCCGGUGUAGCGGUGAAAUGCGUAGAGAUCGGAAGGAACACCAGUGGCGAAGGCGGCUACCUGGCCCAAUACUGACACUGAGACACGAAAGCGUGGGGAGCAAACAGG